rnacentral:rRNA from 1 species
UACGAAGGGUGCAAGCGUUACUCGGAAUUACUGGGCGUAAAGCGUGCGUAGGUGGUUCGUUAAGUCUGCCGUGAAAGCCCCGGGCUCAACCUGGGAAUGGCGGUGGAUACUGGCGGACUAGAGUGCGGUAGAGGGUGGUGGAAUUCCCGGUGUAGCAGUGAAAUGCGUAGAGAUCGGGAGGAACAUCUGUGGCGAAAGCGGCUUCCUGGACCAGUACCGACGUUCAGGCACGAAAGCGUGGGGAGCAAACAGG